rnacentral:rRNA from 1 species
UGAAGUAAGUAAGGGCGUACGGUGAAUGCCUUGGUGCCAACAGGCGAAGAAGGACGCGGCAAGCUGCGAAAAGCCUCGGGAAGCUGCAAGCAAGCGAUGAUCCGGGGAUAUCCGAAUGGGGUAACCUGAUCGAGGCAAUACUCGAUCGUUCAUACCUGAAUACAUAGGGUAUGAAACGCGAAACCCGCUGAAGUGAAACAUCUCAGUAAGCGGAGGAAAAGAAAGAGAAAUCGAUUCCGUAAGUAGUGGCGAGCGAAAGCGGAUGGAGCCCAAACCGAAGGUAUUCCUUCGGGGUUGUAGGACCACGUCAUAUUCGACCAUACUGGAUAGUAGAACAGCCUGGAAAGGCUGGCCGGAGAAGGUGAAAGCCCUGUAGACGAAAUCCAGAGUGGGAAUUAGUGGUAUCCUGAGUAAUACAUCACACGUGGAACGAUGUAUGAACCCGCGCGGACCACCGCGCAAGGCUAAAUACUAGUUGGCGACCGAUAGUGAACAAGUACCGCGAGGGAAAGGUGAAAAGAACCGCUGUGAGCGGAGUGAAAUAGAACCUGAAACCGUAUGUCUACAAAGUGUCAGAGCAGAGCAAUCUGCGAUGGCGUGCCUUUUGUUUAAUGAGUCUGCGAGUCAGUGUUUGUGGCAAGACUAAGGGCUUCCGGCCCGGAGUCGCAGCGAAAGCAAGUCCGAACAGGGCGCAAUAAGUCGCAGGUACUGGACCCGAAGCGGAGGUGACCUACCCUUGGCCAGGUUGAAGCAUGGGUAAAACCAUGUGGAGGACCGAACAGGUGAACGUUGAAAAGUUCUCUGAUGAGCUGAGGGUAGGAGUGAAAGGCUAAUCAAACCCCGUGAUAGCUGGUUCUCUUCGAAAUGCAUUUAGGUGCAGCGUCACGUGCUGAUGCGCGGGGGUAGAGCACUGACAAGGCUAGGGGGCACACCCGCUUACCAAACCUUAUCAAACUCCGAAUACCGUGCAAUGGAACGUGGCAGUGAGACAGUGGGGGAUAAGCUUCAUUGUCGAGAGGGAAACAACCCAGACCAGCAGCUAAGGUGCCUAAAUAACGCUCAGUGGAAAGGAUGUGGGAUUACACAGACAGUGAGGAUGUUGGCUUAGAAGCAGCCACCAUUUAAAAAAUGCGUAAUAGCUUACUCAUCGAGUGAUCCUGCGCCGAAAAUGAUUGGCGAUCAAGCGUUAUACCGAAGCUCUGGACUUUGCCGCAAGGCAGAGUGGUAGAAGAGCGUUGCAUGCGCGUCGAAGGGCGAUGGCGACUGACCCUGGAGCACAUGCAAGUGAGUAUGCAGACAUGAGUAACGUUAAGCCGGGUGAAAUCCCCGGCCGCCGUAAACCCGAGGUUUCCAGGGCAACGUGUUUCGUCCCUGGGUUAGCCGGGACCUAAGCCGAGGCCGAGAGGCGUAGGCGAUGGACAUCAGGUUAAUAAUCCUGAGCUCGCAACCCUUAAACUGGGGGGACGCAUGAGAAAAGAUGACUAGGUUAUUGAAUUCCGAGUUGAGUCUACGGACUCAGCGCAUCAUUGGAUCGAGUGCCAAGAAAAGCCCCAGCGUAUGCUAAGCGACCCGUACCGCAAACCGACACAGGUGGGUGGGUAGAAUAUACCAAGGCGUAAGAGUGAAACCUGGUUAAGGAACUCGGCAAAUUAGCCCCGUAACUUCGGAAGAAGGGGUGCCUGCAGCGAUGCAGGCCGCAGAGAAAUGGCCCAACCGACUGUUUAUCAAAAACACAGCACUCUGCAAAGACGCAAGUCGAAGUAUAGGGUGUGACACGUGACCAAUGCCGAAAGAUUAAGGCAAGGGGUUAGCCGCAAGGCGAAGCUCUAAACCCAAGUCCCGGUGAAUGUCGGCCGUAACUAUAACGGUCCUAAGGUAGCGAAAUUCCUUGUCGGGUAAGUUCCGACCUGCACGAAUCGUGAAACGAGUUGGGCACUGUCUCAACCAGGCGCUCAGUGAAAUUGUAGUGGCGGUGAAGAUGCCGCCUACCCGCAGAAGGACGGAAAGACCCUAUAGACCUUAACUGUAAGCUGUCAUUGUUUCUUCGGUUUUAAUGCUCAGAGUAAGUGGGAGACGCUGAAGACGCCCUUUAGGGGGCGUCCGAGUCAUCAAUGAGACACCACCCUUUGAAACUGGAGGAUCUAACCCUGAGCCGUGAAUCCGGCCAGAGGACCGUGUCAGCCGGUCAGUUUUACUGGGGCGGUAUCCUCCCAAAGAGUAACGGAGGAGCGCGAAGGUGGGCUCAGCCCGGUUGGCAACCGGGUGUCGAGUGCAUGGGCAUAAGCCCGCCUAACUGUGAGACCAACAAGUCGAGCAGAUGCGAAAGCAGGCCCAAGUGAUCCGGCGGUAGAAAGUGGAAUUGCCGUCGCUCAACGGAUAAAAGGUACCUUAGGGAUAACAGGCUGAUCACGCCCAAGAGCUCAUAUCGACGGCGUGGUUUGGCACCUCGAUGUCGGCUCGUCGCAUCCUGGGGCU